rnacentral:rRNA from 1 species
UGAGGAAUAUUCGUCAAUGGGGGAAACCCUGAACGAGCAACGCCGCGUGGAGGAUGAAGGCUUUCGGGUCGUAAACUCCUUUUCAGGGAGACGAGAAAGGACGGUAUCCCUGGAAUAAGUCACGGCUAACUACGUGCCAGCAGCCGCGGUAAUACGUAGGUGACGAGCGUUAUCCGGAUUUACUGGGCGUAAAGCGCUUGUAGGUGGUUUUGUAAGUUGGACGUUAAAUCUCCAGGCUCAACUUGGAGAGGCCGUUCAAUACUGCAAGACUAGAGGAUGUCAGAGGAAGGUGGAAUUCCAGGUGUAGUAGUGAAAUGCGUAGAUAUCUGGAGGAACACCCAUGGCGAAGGCAGCCUUCUGGGACAUUCCUGACACUGAGAAGCGAAAGCUAGGGGAGCAA